GAUGAACGCUGGCGGCGUGCCUAAUACAUGCAAGUCGAGCGAACAGAUAAGGAGCUUGCUCCUUUGACGUUAGCGGCGGACGGGUGAGUAACACGUGGAUAACCUACCUAUAAGACUGGGAUAACUUCGGGAAACCGGAGCUAAUACCGGAUAACAUAUUGAACCGCAUGGUUCAAUAGUGAAAGACGGCUUUGCUGUCACUUAUAGAUGGAUCCGCGCCGCAUUAGCUAGUUGGUAAGGUAACGGCUUACCAAGGCAACGAUACGUAGCCGACCUGAGAGGGUGAUCGGCCACACUGGAACUGAGACACGGUCCAGACUCCUACGGGAGGCAGCAGUAGGGAAUCUUCCGCAAUGGGCGAAAGCCUGACGGAGCAACGCCGCGUGAGUGAUGAAGGUCUUCGGAUCGUAAAACUCUGUUAUCAGGGAAGAACAAAUGUGUAAGUAACUGUGCACAUCUUGACGGUACCUGAUCAGAAAGCCACGGCUAACUACGUG
rnacentral:rRNA from 1 species